AGAGUUUGAUCAUGGCUCAGAAUCAACGCUGGCGGCGCGCUUAACACAUGCAAGUCGAGCGAGAAAGGGGAGCAAUCCCUGAGUACAGCGGCGUACGGGUGAGUAACACGUGGAUAAUCUACCUUCGAGUGGGGGAUAACUCUGGGAAACCGGAGCUAAUACCGCAUAAGCCUGUGAAGGGAAAGCAGCAAUGCGCUGGAAGAGGAGUCCGCGGCCGAUUAGCUAGUUGGUGAGGUAACGGCCCACCAAGGCGAUGAUCGGUAGCCGGCCUGAGAGGGCACACGGCCACACUGGCACUGAAACACGGGCCAGACUCCUACGGGAGGCAGCAGUGGGGAAUCUUGCACAAUGGAGGCAACUCUGAUGCAGCGACGCCGCGUGAGCGAUGAAGCCCUUCGGGGUGUAAAGCUCUUUCGGCAGGGACGAUAAUGACGGUACCUGAAGAAGAAGCUGCGGCUAACUACGUGCCAGCAGCCGCGGUAAUACGUAGGCAGCGAGCGUUGUUCGGAAUUACUGGGCGUAAAGAGUGUGUAGGCGGUGCUCUAAGUUCGGUGUGAAAUCUCCCGGCUUAACUGGGAGGGUGCGCCGGAAACUGGAGUGCUCGAGCGUGGGAGAGGAAAGCGGAAUUCCCGGUGUAGCGGUGAAAUGCGUAGAUAUCGGGAGGAANNCCUGCGGUGUAGACGGCUUUCUGGACCAUUGCUGACGCUGAGACACGAAAGCGUGGGUAGCAAACAGGAUUAGAUACCCCCGUAGUCC
rnacentral:rRNA from 1 species